UACGUAGGGUGCAAGCGUUUGUCCGGAAUUAUUGGGCGUAAAGAGCUCGUAGGCGGUUUGUUGCGUCGGCUGUGAAAUCCCGAGGCUCAACCUCGGGUCUGCAGUCGAUACGAGCAAACUAGAGUGUUGCAGGGGAGACUGGAAUUCCUGGUGUAGCGGUGAAAUGCGCAGAUAUCAGGAGGAACACCGGUGGCGAAGGCGGGUCUCUGGGCC
rnacentral:rRNA from 1 species